CUCGGUAUGCGCAUCGCCACCACCCUCGCUGCAGAGGCCGCCGCCCUCCCAGCGCGCCAUCACCGCCUCCUCUGCCUCUUCCCCUCCCUCAGCCCCGGCCCCUGCAUUGACUUGGCUCGGGCUGCGCCUCACUGCGCCUGCCAACUGUCACACGCUCUGAGGCUUUCAACAGCGGGGCGCCAGGGACAAACAAGCCGCGGCAAGCGCAAACAGCCUGCUCAAACAGGGACGGCCAGGGUGUUGUUUGACCAGCACUGGAAUUGGAAACUAGGUUUCGAAGAAGUCAAAUCGAAGUACAAUAUUGUAUUUUAAACUGCCUGUUGUUAUUACAUCCCUCACAACGCACGCUCUACUUGAAACUUCCAGUGGAUACCAACUGCACUUAGAAUAAAAAAUGAAACUCCUUGCCUAACUCUGGGACCUCAUCAGCACAUACUCACCAUAUUUUGGUAACAAAGGCCUUCAUGCUGUUCCCGGAAGUCGCCAAGUUCCAUCCAUCAUUGUUAAUAAUUCCUUUUGCUCGCUCCUCGCACAAGAACUGUUUCUUCUGCUUAGUGCUUUGCCUACUGAUUCCAUCUUGUCAUUUAAGUCUCGGCUCAAAUGUCACCUCUGCAAAGAACCCUUGUCUGACCAUACAUCUAAAAUAGCCACAAACACUCUAUAAAGACUUGGCCUUGCUUUAUUUCCUUCUCAGCACUCAUCACUGUCUGAAACAAUGUUUUGGAUUUGUUGCUUAUUAUCAGUCUCCCUUCUCAAGAAUGCAAGCUUUGUGAGGGCAGAGUCGUAAUCUUUUUUAAGGCUGUAUCCCCAAUGCCUGGAUUGCCCAACACUUGCUUCAUGCUUCAAGCACAUCAGGGUGCUUUCCACUUCUGGAUGAGCCAAGUGUUUCCUCAGCUUUUCUGCACCUUCCUCUCCAUUGACCUAGAGUGUCUAUGGAACACUCAGAGUGUCCCCUGUGUAAACCACCUACCACAAGAUUAUCAACUUCAGGCAAUGGACCACGCACCAGGAUUCCACCUCUUUCUAGCACCUAUCAGUGUUGCGCACAUCAUAGGCCCUCAACAAACAGCUGCCAAGAACCUGAACACCCUCCGCUGGUAACAUUAAGAUGUUAUCUUUAACUGGCAAGUCAAUUAAGGAAUGUAGAAGAAUGAAACUGGAUCCUC
ensembl:lncRNA novel transcript, antisense to LNPEP and ERAP2